rnacentral:lncRNA from 1 species
ACUGGGCACGCUCCCGCAACGACGGUCGACCUCGGCGACGAUACAUAGCUGAAAGGAACAAAUCGGGGUCAGAUACAACGCAACACUCUCGACCCAAUCAACGAAAGUCUGGAAGGCGGUCCCUGUUUUCCUUCAAAAUUAUGUCGUCUGCAGCCAACAUAAUUUCUCAGGCCAAAACAGGAACUCCUUCAGUCACUCACUCCACUCUAAGAUGAGUUAGGACAAAUAAUCAUUGACUUUCGCAAUAAAUUACGCCUCUCGGUCUUGCUUUCCUAAGGUUCGCCAAACUUAGGGUUUCUAGGUCCCAACGACCUAUAGCAAAGCUCUGAUACCAACUUAAUCUGUCACGCCCUGGAUGUCUCGUUCCCCGGGCACGCCGACAAAUCCGCCGUAUACAAAGAAAUUUUCCCUGUAUACGAAGCGACAGCUAUAACUGUAAAUCAAACACUACUACGAACAGUAGUAGAGAGCUGCUAGAGAAAACAGAAGCUAAACAAACUGAAUUUCGUAUAUAUAGUCCAAAUCCAAAAUACAAAGCUACUCGCACUGGCAAGUUAAGUCUACUAUGUACAGAAACUCGAAACAAAAUAUCUACCUGCAGUAGGGGCACCUCUAGCUCAGCAGGACGGGUAAGGCUCUAACUCGCGACGCCCUUGCCUCGAUCCUGAUCCGCGGAAGGCGCAGCAGCCGGAACCUGUGGCUCUGCAAAACAGAAGUAACAACUGGGCGUGAGAACUACUAUAAAAACAAGUAGUCCUCAGUGGGUACCGCCCAAAACAACAUCGGUCCACCCACUAAGUCUACAGAAGGGAGCAAGAGUAGUCAGAAAAGCAGGAAGUAAACUCUACCGCUAUCGAUCACUACACUAUCAUGCUCUACACUAACCAACUGUAGUAAAUGUCAAAUCUGACCCAAUCCAAUCGGGACUGUAAGCAUACCCGUCCCCGGGACUGUGAAUACACCCGUCCCUGCCCCGUUGCGACUAUCAGGCUCUAUCCACACUAACUGGUCCGUGGAGAGCAAGUCCAACUGGCAUGAGCGACACCAACGCGAAAGCACAAAGCCUGACUCCGGAGUGGCACUCGUGGGCGCUACCCAACCGAGUAUGCAGCGUAUCUCUGUCGAGCUCAAUCAGGCUCUGAAAAGCCAAAGUCAAGUAACCAACUCAAACUGGUCUAAUAACCAACAGGUAACGUGCCCUCAGCACAAUCUGAUGCCAAAAAGGCGAUACGGGUCCACCGUCAAUCCUGACGGCACCCAACAGUCCGGAACAACCUGAACGACCCUGUAAAAAUCCACUCGGCACACCAGCACGAGCGUAAAUAUAUUCUAAACUACCUGAAGUACUCGUCUCGAAGAUACUGUGACAGUACAAUUUUAUAACGGCUCCUAGAGCUAAAUCAGGCAGUUUAAACAUGUGACAGGUCCAAAUCGCAGGUUUUCUCCUAAUUCAAAUUCCAAGUCCAACAUGUAUAAACUACUCAAUUUAAUACCACACGCUCCAAAUUCAGAUUUGCUAUCUAUAACAAAAUUCAUGAAUUCGAGCUAGAAUAGACUAUACUAAAAUUGAAUUUUACACAUGUCGACGAUUAGAACUUGGGAGUCAAAACCGAUGUAACCCACCUCGAUCGCUAAACCCCGGCAGCGAGGAGGUCACCAAAAAUCCCCAAAUCCACUGGAAAAACCAGGGUGUCUAGCUCAAGUUCGAAAUCGCCCUGCACACAUCGCAACGAAGAACUCCAACUCAAAUUCUGUCCGAAACACAGCAACAGAGGAGAACAUAAUUUCGACCCAGCUAACCUUCAACAAAUCCAGCAAAUAAGGGCUUCAUGGAUUCCUCUCGAAGUCCUGAAUCCAACGAACCAAGUCUCGUCGAAAUCCGACGUUCCUACGCCGAGUACGAGCCGAAACACUGAUGGUCGACGCUGAAAAUCAGCACGCGAGCUCAAAACCGUGCGUUCAAGUAAUCCAAGGAGGAAAGUUAGGUACCCACCUCGACAGCGAAUCCAGCGCCGGUGCGACGUCGAGGACGGCGAAAACCACGCCCUCGCUCGAACUCCUCGCGAUGCUGCGACUGCAACCGUAUCCUCGAACGGCUCCGCGGCGCGAUGUCGACGUUGAAUCCGAGCUUCGCGGCUACUCCCCCAAGCUCCACCUCGUGUGGUUCUCUACUUCACACUAAAGAGAGAAAGCAAAAGCAAAAUUAAUUAGAGCCACCCUCAAGCAGAUAAGCAUGCAUGGGGGAGUGCACGUGGCAUCCAUAGCCACACUUAGUCUAGGUACUAAUAUAUAUAUAUAUAUAUAUAUAUAUAUAUAUAUAUAUAUAUAUAUAGAGAGAGAGAGAGAGAGAGAGAGAGAGAGAGGAUACUACAGCGACCCUUGCAACUGGUCGAAUAGAUCAUCGAUUCUCGGUAACGGGUACUUGUUGUUGAUUGUCACUUUGUUCAACUCGCGAUAAUCCACGCAGAGUCGAAGUGUGCCAUCGUUUUUCUUUACAAAUAGCACUGGAGCUCCCCACAGUGACACGCUCAGCCUCACAAAGCCUUUAUCGAGCAAGUCUUGCAACUGAGCUUUCAACUCUACUAGCUGGUGUCAUUGUAUACGGAGCCUUCGAGAUUGGCGCCGCCCCGGGAAUCAAAUCAAUGACGAACUCGAUCUCCCGGUCCGGUGGCAAUCCAGGUAACUCGAUCUCCUGGUCCGGUGGCAAUCCUAGGUCCACCCAAUACUUUCACUUUCAUUGCUCUGAUACCACUCUAUCUGUCACGCCCCACGACCGUCAAUUUUGUCUGUUCGGACACAUGCAUAGACGCCGAACGAACAGAACCUCCUCUGUCCGUCCAAGGCACAACAACCACAACAUGUAUAACAAAUUCACCUAGGAAGAAUUUCGAUAUAUAUGGCUUGCACAAGGGCAAGCAACAGAAGCAAGUGAAAGUAAACUAACUAUUACAUCCAUGCAUUGUGUCUUGAUUACAUUAAACCAAAUACAAACUUUUACAUAACCAUUCCAUUACAUACAUGAUCUUUACAUUCAUUUCCAAAAUACAUCUUUUCAUUACAUGUUCUUUACAUCUCUUUUCAUCAUAAGAUGAAAUACUAAAUAGUGCAUCCAUACUCGGGGAAGUCCACUACCUAGGGCGCGAUGCCCUUGCCGCGAUCCUCGACUGCCCCGCUCGCGCUAGGAUUUGCAAGGUUAGUAGGGUGAGAACUACUAAAAGUUCCCAGCGGGUUCGGCCGUGGACCCCACCAACUCACCCACUAGGUCUACUCAGGCAUAUGUAGGAAAAGAAAGAAUAGAUAGCAAACCAUAAUAAUACUACUACAAUGCCUGUACAAGAACAGAACAACAAGUAAUAUACACAUGAUGCACGUAUUUCUCUUUUACCUUUACCUUUACCCAAUCCGCUUGGUUAACCAUUUGGUUAAACCCAACUCACCAAAGCAAAUCCCUUUUGUCGGGGAGAAUACCGCUACAACCCAACGAGACCAUCUGCUGGGGAGAAUUCCACCACCGCCCAGUUGAUGACAACUCCAGAGCUCACCACUUGAGGUGGAGCGACCACCCUCAAGCGUUCAGACUACCUGUGAGUACAAUCUAAUCCUCAACUUGGAGGAUACUAUGUCACUAUUGCCACAAAGUUCACAUAGUUUCUUUGCCUAGCAUUCAUAAUUCUUGAUGCUAUUUAAUCCGUCUAGUCACAAUGUCACCUUAUUUACUAUUGUGUCGUAGUCCAAUACUUCGUUCAUACAUUCAUAGGGUUUCUAUGUCAUGGUCCUUUAUCAUUUCACAUAUGUUCUACAUUGAAAGCAUACAAGAGAUCCCACAUCUUGCCACAUAUCAUUUUACUCUACUCUACAUAGCUGUGUUCUUAAUAGCACAGAGCCCUAAGUCGUUUUCGAUGACUAAACUUUUGAAUUGACAAUCAGCUCCGUUAGACUUAGAUCUAGCAUAUUUGAAGUAUUUAGAAAAUAAAUUUUGCAAUUUUCAAUAUCAUUUACCUAAUGAUCAAAAGGAUUCAAAAUUAAAGGCUGAAAAUAAAAAUCUCACAAAGAGUGGUGAUAUAGUACUAAAAUUUUCGAUGAGAGAUAUUGAUCAUUAGGUAGUAUAAAAAAUAAAAAUCUCACAAAAAGUUGUAGAUAGUAUAAAAAAUUUUUAUCAAAGUUUUAUCUGAUUUGGAGAUUUUUACACUGUUAAACUUGAAAACGACAGACAUCAACUAUUAAAAAUUAUUAAUUUUGAACCCCUUUGGUCGUUAGGUAAAUGAUAUCAAAAAAUCACAAAAUUUAUUUUCUAAAUACUUCAAACAUGCUAGAUCAAAUCUAAUGGAGCCGAUUAUCGAUUCAGAAGUUUAACGGCUUAGGAGCACGGAGCACAACAAUCCUACUAUAUAUAUACAUACAUAUAUAUAUAUAUAUAUAUGUAUAUAUAUAUAUAUAUAUAUAUAUAUAUAUAUACAUAUGUAUAUAUAUGUAUAUAUAUAUAUGUAUAUGUAUAUAUAUACAUAUAUGUAUAUGUAUAUAUAUACAUAUAUAUAUAUGUAUAUAUAUAUAUAUACAUAUAUGUAUAUAUAUACAUAUACAUAUAUGUAUAUAUAUAUAUAUACAUAUAUGUAUAUACAUAUAUAUACAUAUGUAUAUAUAUAUAUAUAUAUCCCCUAAACUUAGGUCCACGUGGUAAGUUAGGCAUAAUUUGAGGCAUGUGGACCCCAGCUGUCAGUACUAAUUCCCAAUAUUAAUUGCUUAGUAGCAUAAUUUUCUUUGUUGAGAUUUUUUUGAAAUUCCUUUUUUUACAAUGGACGAGACUCUUCCCAAAACCGUCGCCUCCACUUCCAAUUAAGGCGUUGAGACCGUUCAUGGCAGCAAUAGGAACAGUCACGCUUCUCUCUCUACUUCAAAUAGGAACGACCUCUCUCCUUCCCCGCCUUCCUCACACCCCUGCUUCACUGCCUUUUCCUCUCCCCUCGCUCUUCCCAUACCUCCUCAUGGCCUCAUCCCUCGCCCUCUCUGUCGCCUGCCAUUAUCUCUGCCCGCCACUCUGUAUCGAUUCACGAACUUUGAGAUUUCUAUUUGAUAGGUGAUGAAACCAAACAACGAUGAUGCAGUGGCGACGCCGGCAGCAACUUGCAGCAGCACGAAAGAGGAUGUGACGGCAGCAGCAAUAGUUGUGGGAUGUGGUGGCGGCGCCAGAGUAGAAGACAGAGGUGGGGACAACGGUAGUGGUGUGCAGCGGCAGAGUAGGAGGAGGCAGUGGCAUCCAUACGAGAGUGAUCACGGUAACUAUGCGGGGAUUUAACAUGGUAACUAUGCGGGGAUUUAACACGGGUAACUAUCCAUACAGAGCAGGAUCCUCUGCUUUUGGAGAUCUUCUUUAUGCUAAUUGAACUAAUACUUAAAAAAUUGCUUAACUAAGUUAUUUGAGGAUAGUGGUAGUUCAAAUUUAUUACUAGAUUCUAUAAUUAUUAUAGAAUACUAACUUUUGGCUGUACUAUGCGCUUGAUUAUUUUGGAUUUGCGUGUGCCAUAUGGUUGGUUAUUAUCGAUUUUCUAAGGGCUGUAGUUUUUUGUGCUUCGCUCUCCGGUGAGCAACGGCGGCAGCAACCCCCCAACGGCCUCUUAUGCAUCCUCAAUAAGGAUGGCGCUAGCUCCAUCAUCACCCACCGCCCCUUCCUUGAUGCCUUUAACUUCUUCAAUCCUCCUCACGUCCCUAAUGAUGAAGAAGAAAUCAAUGAGUAUAAUAUAAGCCAAAUUCUUACUACUAUAUUAGCGCAGUCUACAAAAUAUUAAAGAAAAAAAUUAGUUAUUUAUAUAUUUUUUUUCCUAACCAUUGCUUUAACAGUUGCACAACCAUAUAGAGCAGGGCUAUGAUAUUAGGCAAAUUCUUUGCUUAGAUAAUUAAUCAUAUAUUUAGUAUCAUGCUUUUUUAAAAAAAUUAUUUAUAGUAAACUGAAUCAUCUGUUUUUAUUUGCUUGAAUAUUCGCAUAUUCCUAGAGAAAAAUUAGACACAAAUUGGUUCGACACUAUUAUUCAUAUUGCAGAUUUUGGAUGCAGAUUCUAAGAUAUUAUAUUGAUUCACUGGAAUUCUAAUCUACAGGUAAACUAUAAGAGGCAAGAUAAUUUCACAUAUUUGUUUCAUGGUUCACGAGAGAGGUCGUUCAAGCGCAAAAUUUCUAUAGCAUAGAAGUGGGUGACGAAGAUAUUAUAUACCAUUUUUGGCCUAUGAAUACAUUUAGUAAUAGUGUAUUUGCUAAUUUUUAUUAUUAACUGAGCAUUCAGUAUAACCAUGUGCACUAAUUAAGUAAUUUUCAUUUUUUUUGAUUUGUUUAUUAAAAAUAAAUGAAGAUAUUGCAUGUGCACUAAUUAACUCAUAUAUAACCAUGUCACACUCUUAGUAGACAAUCAGGUAAGAAGAGUAAAGUAGGUUGCACUCAUUGGUUUUAGAUUUUGCUAUUAUGAAAUUAUUGCUUUAAAUCAUUCUAAUGUAUGUUAGAAUAGAUGGCAUUUUACCUUUUGUUAGAAGGAUGCCACAAAAUGAUUGAUUAUUAGUCAAAUUAAAUCCUUAAAUUGUGUUGCUUUAUGAUCGAUUACCAAAACAUUUUUUGUUCUAAAAAGAAAAGGAAUAUGUUUAGUCAGUACAUUCAUAUUUAUUUAAAUAUAGUCAAGAAUUAUUUUUGCAUUACUUUAGAUUUUAUUGAAGUUAAACUACAUGGCAGUAGAGCAAGAAUUCUACAACCAUUGCAAGGAAUGUGAAGGGAAGGAUGCAAUCAUAAAGUAAUUGGUUGUUGCUACUUAUGCAUCCAAUAUAACUAACUCUAAGGUGUUAUAACUUCUUUUAUUCUUCACUUGAUUCUACGAAAAGAGGAUUGCUGAAUUACAAUAAAGAGAAAAAAACAUGAUAGUCUCCAAAUUAUAGAAAGACAUGAUAUUUCUAGAACAGAAGAUAAAUGCUGCUUAAUUCUAAAGGUUUAGAAUGUAGGCUUUACAAGUUUGUAUUUAUCUUUUCUUAUAGUCUUAUCACUUUUUUGAUUAAAUAAUUGAGUUUAAUCACAUAGAUUGUAGAAUGGAAAGAUCUUCUUUUGAAGUGUUUUAUCAACUUUUGUAGACUAUUUAAACAGAUGAUUCUCAUUGGAUAGCUAUAAUACUACUUUUUUUGAUAAAUUACAUAUUUCAGGCUUAUUUUUUAGACUUUAUGAUAAACGAUGGCAGAAUAAAAAUUUACUUUGAUAAUACCUAUCCGUUGCAACGCACGGGUAACUACACUAGUAUAUAUAUAUAGUGCGUCUGGUAUGCUUCUGGAAGUACGGAGCGCUCCGUGCUUCCAAGUCAUUUUCGAUGUUGGGACUUUCGAAUCGACGAUCAGCUCUGUUAGACUUGAUCUAGAGUAUUUUAAGUAUCUAGAAAAUAAAUUUUGCGAUAUUUUGAUAUCAUUUGCCUAGUGAUCAAAGUGGCUCAAAAUCAACGGCUGAAAAUAAAAAUCUUACAAAAUAUGAUGAUAUGAUAUUAAAAUUUUAGAUCAAAAAUAUUCAUCUUGUUUUAUAUAGUAUAAAAAAUUUCACGUGAUUUGGAUAUUUAUACACCGUUAAACUUGCAAACGAUUCACCGCGGCCAUUAAAAUUAUUAAUUUUGAGCCCCUUCGAUCACUAGGCAAAUGAUAUCAAAAAUCACAAAAUUUAUUUUCUAGGUAUUUCAAAUACUUUAGAUCAAGUUUAACGGAGCCGAUCGUCGAUUCAAAAGUCCCAACAUCGAAAACGAUUUAGAAGCUGUAAGGACUGAGACUUUUGCAGUGUAGCUAAACUCUCAGUUGACGAUAUUUUUGUGUGUAAUUUAAUUACAAUAGCACUCGUCAAGUUUCGGGUGAAAACGAGCUAAAACGGAAAUUCUACGCGAUUUCCAAGUUUCACUUAAAGUGAAUAGUAACUCGAUUUUUCGGAGAAAUCACGGUGGGAAGUUGGCUUCUGGCUCGUAUCGGACUCCGUUCCUAGCGGUCCAAUAGCUCGUUUCGAGUGGGAUCGUACGUGGAGGGGUGUCCGUGAAAGUUUUGAGGAGCCCAAGGAUCUAUCUAGAUUGUAUCUAUCACCUAGAGGGGGGUGAAUAGGUGAACGGCCAAAAAUCACAAAUCUCGAUGCAAUAAAAAUAAAUGCGGAAAAUAAAAAGCACACCGAGAUUUACGUGGGAAAACUCCAACUUGGAGAAAAACCCACGGGACCAACACGCGAAAAAAUAAUUCACUAAGAGAAAAGAUUACAAGGUGAUUGCCGACUCCACGGACUCUACCUCUCUUAACCUCCUAUGAAUCUCGCGCGAUCCUCCGGGUUGUCCACGCCCUCACGUUCGAAUCCAGCCGAAUCCACUGACGGCGACUCGAAUCCAUGAGCCCACGAUCCGAAUCCACGAACCGCCUUUCAAUUACGCCCGAAUCCACAGACGCCGUUCAUGUAAGAGCAUCAUAAUUAUGGUGAUCCUUCGCUUAAGGAGUAUCGUAGAAAACCAGGGAAUAGAAACUCCAAGCGAAGCGGAGAAUCCAAAUCGACAUAUAGAGAAUGCGAAACGAUAUCUCGAUUUGAUCUAAAGAGACUAAUUUUGUAGAAAAUAGGUUUAUAAGAAUGAAAAAUCUCGAAGCCUCUUAGGUUGUCAAAUCAUGUAUUCUUAUCAUGCUUAAUCAGUUAGAGAACCCCUAUAGCUUAUUUAUAGACUUUAGAAUCAAAAACGGAAGUAGGAUUUAGAAAGUUUCUUUCGCAAAAAUCAGCACCUUGUACCGGGAACAAGGAAAGCUGUCCAGGGUACAGCAUGACGAAGAUUUUCUGCCGAAGCUCUGUACCUGGACAGACUGCUUUUUGUUCCGGAACAGGGAUUGUACCGGUACAGCCAUGAUGGUUGUACUUGGACAUACACAUCAAACAGUCUGCGCAAACACUGAUGGCUGCUGUACCCUGGACAGAAAUCCUUGUACCGUACAACAAUGCAAUUUUUCGCUGAAAAUGCAUUGUUUCGGCUUCUACAAGCUCUUAGAAACUUUCUAAAUCAAUUACAACUUGAAAAUAUGAUUCUAAGAGAUCUAUAAAUAAGUAUGAACACCAUAAACAAGAUUUAAAGCUUACCUAAGGCAUCGUGAUUCAAGUUUUGCGUGUGUUUGCGUCCUUUCUGAUUCUUCGAAGUCUGGAUUCUAUCGAUCUUCAAUACGCCGCUUACCGGACUUCUUCAAGACUAUCCGACUCGACCCACCGAAACUUGCCAACACAUAGGAUCUAACAAUCUCCCCCUUUGGCAAUUCGUGACAAAAACACACACAAACCAACAAAAUUACAAUAGAAGAGAAAAACGAAGUCAAUGUCAUUACCAAAACAUCGAACCCCUCGCGUGUAAUUCCAAAUACAAUUUGAAAACUCAAAAUUAUAUCAAAACUCCUAAACAACUCUAUGACUUAGACGCAACUAGGAGUCUUGAAGUCUUGAUUUCCUGGCAAAACAAUUCAAUCUCAAAAUGAUUACGCACUAAAAUUCUUAUACCUUCUCCCCCUUUGUCACAUCUCCCCCUUUGUUCUUGAACUCAUCAUCCCUCGUGCUUCAUUCAAUGUGCCUUGUUCAUCCAUCCGCUCUCCUCUUUCAUCACGCUCCCUCUUUUUAUCAAAAAUUGCCAAAAAAGAAAGCAAAUAGAAAGAGAAAACAAACUAGAAAAACAUGAGAGUAGUCUAGUCAUCAGUUACAGGCCUAAAACAAAAGUAAAAACUAUACUACAGAAAGAUAAGCAAGCAAAUCUAAAAUAUCAUCCUAAAACAGCAAAUGCAGUGAAAGAAAGAGACUAAGCUCGAACGAAGAAAUCACUCCGUGUCCCUCAUCAUCAAUCAUCAUCAUCUCCUGCACCAGCUCUAGAACCUCCAGCCUCAGGAGCACACUCCAGACGGUGGAAUGAGAGGAUGUCGUGAAGAUGACCACUGAAUACAGGCAGAAGAUGGAGUAUGUUUCCCAAAUAUCACAUUGUCGACACCCCCAAUCUUAUCAUCAAUCUUUUGAUACUUAACUCAAACUUUUUGAUGCCGACUCAACUUUCCUUCCAAUGUUGUUUCACGCUUCUUCUUUAAUUUUCGCCAAAUCAUCCUUAACUGAUUCAACUCGUCGGCUCCCACCCGAACUAGAUCAAGUAUCAUAACUCCCUCGAGAUGUAGGCGGAGGAGCAGAGCUAGAAGCUGCUCUCGGGUGAGGUGGCUGGGGGUGCCAUAGUGCGUCAGAGUGUGGCACUUUGGUCUAAUGGAAUGACUUGAGAGUGCUAACAGACUCAGGCCCAAGUCACGGAGUCAAUAGCCCAAGCCAACAUCAUACUUGUCACAAGAUGUUACUACUCCAUUUGCUUGAAGAAUCCUCGUAACAGAACAGGAAAUGGAAGUAGAUCCCGUCGAGUGCACCCUGAAUCAACGUGUAUCAUCGCUUUGCCAAGAUCAGAAAUGAAAUGUUGAUGUUCAAUCCAUGAGCGUGCUCGGAUGACCCAGUAGAUAUAGCAAACACUAAUCUCUCCCAGCGGAUCCUCUUUGUCGCCGAUAGUUGGUUGAACAUUAUAGCUCAUACACAAUGAUAGCAAUGAUGACUCAGGUAAUAAAUCCUUGGAUUCAAUGUAACCAUGAGUCAUGUAAACACCAGCUUGCAUAUAGCUCCAAGAAUGAUAUUCAUGUGAGUUGAUGCUUAGAAUCCUCCUGAUGUAACACACUGGACCUUUUGCAAAUUUGUGGUUCGAGUGUCUGAGUUGUGUUCUGAGUAUUUCCAGAUUUUCUGGUAGUGUCGUUGACAGUGUUCCAGACCCAUGGCUCAUAUUCCGAGAUUUGAGUAUUUGAAGUAGCCCAAAGGUCACACAAAAAGUUGGACUUAGGCUGCUCUCGGAUUGCUGUUUUCUCGCUGUGUACCGGUACAAGCUGAUGGCUGUACCGGUACAGGUUGAUGGUUGUACCGGUACAGCCACCGGCUGUAUUGACCGGUACAAGCCGUUGAACCCCCAACCCGAGCCUCGGUUGUGAUGUUUUCGUAGGGCUUGUACCGGUACAGGGGCCCGUGUACCGGUAAUAAGUGGCAGAUUUUGAGCAGUUUCGAACUGCAGGGGUGUUUUUGCUAUUGUAGUAUCUAUAUAAUACCACCCACGCCCUUUGCUGAUCUCCCUGAGCACAGAGGACAAGUAGAGCCCUUCUCUUCUUCUCUUUUUGAUUUCCCUCCCCUUUUGCUUGAUUUGAUGGUUAUCCCCUCUUUUGCUUUUGUGACUUUCCACCAUGGGAGAAACUUGGGAGCUUGGAGUGAGCUUGUUGAGGUGAGAUCUUCGAUCCUUGGGGAUUGUGAACCUUGUUUGAGGCUUCUUGAGAGGUUAGUUGCUUACUAUUUUCCUUCUAUCAUGAAAUUUCAUGAAUUUUGUUUAGAAACCUAGAAAUGAGGAUUUAGGUUUUUUGGGUUUUUGAUCUAGGGCUUUCGGAGCUCAAUCGAUCGUUUUAGAACCUUCCCUUGGUUUGGUUGGAAGGGAUCUAGCUUCCAUUUGGAGCUUAAAAGGGAUUUUCUACACUUAGGUGAGAUUUAGCCAUCUUUUGCCUUUGGCCUUAUGGUUAAUGUUUGAUUUUCGGGUUGUUCGUUUCGUUGGGUAACCGCUCGUUUUGAUGCUUCUAGGGUACUAGGAGUCUUGUGGGGCACCUCCGUUCGGCGAAACGAAGGUUUUCGAUUUUGGUGGGUUUGGCCUCACCUAAGAUGAGAUAAACUUCUCAUAUGAGGUUUUAUUUAUCGUAAAGUGAAAACGCAUGUAUAUUCUUAUUGGAUAGAAUAUUUGAGAAUUUUAGAAUGCUUAAAUUGCACAUGUCAUAUACAAUGCAUAUUGGACCUCUAUAUAGUAGAGAGUCUUCAAUGUUGGCUAGGCCCUAUGGUUAGCAUUCUUACAUUUGAUUGAGAUCAUGUUGCAUAUGGUGCAUAUGGCAUAUAGAUUACACUCUGAGACUUAGAACGCAUGCUUGACAUGGUUGGACAAAUCGACAUUAAGUGACAUAGGCUAGAGUGUAUACAAAUAAAUAAGCUAAUGUCAUAAAGCGGCAUAGGCUUGAUGGAUAUGUAAAUUGCAUUACCUGUUAUUAUUAUGAGAAUUAUGCCAAGUUGAUAGUUGCAUUGGAUAGAAUAAGCUAACGUAACAAGAAGACAUAGAAGGUGAAAUGUGCUUAGAUUAUAGCAAGUUUAAGUGUCAUAAAAGAGGCACUAAACAUAGUGAAUUGGGAACUUCACCUUGAGAUUUGGACUUAGUAAAGCUAAGUCAUUGAUAUCGAAAUUAUUGAACGGUUUAAACCUUCACAUUUGAGACAUAGUACUAGACCUUUGGUUCUAGUGACUAUACCAUGUUAGAGACAUGAUGAUUGGGUACUUGAGGUUUUGACCAUGCUGCUUGCCAUUUUUGCUCAUUCGCACAUGCUUGUACGGUUGCUCCCUACAAGCCGGCACUUCCCGGAGUUAGCACUACGCGACAUAUGCUCCAGUCGUGCGUAUUAAAAAGCUUACGGGGUCGAGUGGGACAGACACAUUCCAAGAGCAGGAAUGUUGGGCUACCACAGGCACUUAGGCGGCACAACCGGACUACACCCGUGUAGAUCCUGAAUGAGAUUGAACCAGAAUAUUAAACAACAAGUUGAUAAUCACUACUAGACAGGUCAUAGUAGUUGGAUUCUUGACAUCCUACGGCAUAGGUUGGACAUUGAGAUUCAUAGGAUACUUGACGUAUCGCUUAUGGCAUCGUAGUGUACUUGGAUUGCCAGGAUAGUACAUACUGGAUAUGUAGUUGGCUUUGAGACAUAUUAUUAUACUUCAUAUAUUACUUGUUGCAUCAUAAGCAUAGCUUGUUUAAGUAUUGGCAUAUCUGGAUCAUGUAGAGUAAUGUACUCCAUGUUGACAUUCUUCAUACUUGUGGCAUAGUAGAGUAGCAUUUUAAUAUUAUGCUUAUUUACCGCAGUUAAUUUAUGUUAUCCUUAUCUGCUCUCUUUGGGGCUAGUGGUGCAGCUGGUGCAAGUCAGUAAUUGCCCACUGGGAACUAUAAAUUAUAGUUCUCAUGCCCCCCUAUUUUAUUUUUCUUUCAGAGCCUUCCACUCCGGGAGGGGCUCGGAUCGCGGGAAAGGUUUCUCCCUCGAGCUAGCUAUCGAGGAUUUGGCGAUAGGUGGUCCACCUCUCUUUUGCUUCUGUUGGAGAGUUGUGAGAGUUUGUACCUUAUUAUAGAGACCACCCUACUGUUGUAUCUGGAGACUUUAUGAUGUAUUAGUUUCUUUAUGUUCUAGUGGUUUAGUCUCUUUUUCUUUCCUUUUUAUUUCCGCUUGUUGGUAGAACCUAGCUAUAUACUUGCUCUGAUAUCUCUAGUUGUAAGAUUUUCUCUUGCUUUACUCUCCGCUUUUGUGUAGACGCCUUAUAUGUGUGACAUAUGGCGGUCUGGCGCGCGCACGCGGCGGCCUAUGCCGCAUCCCGGGGCGUGACACAAAUUAAUUUGGUAUCCAGAGCCUAGGUUGAGUCUUAUGGACCUAGCAAACCUUAGGCCGGUUGGACUAUAGGAAUUAACUCGUGAGAGACGAGGUCUAUUUGAUUUAUGAGCGAAAGUACAUGAUUGGGUUUCUUUGAUAACUCCAAAAUGUUGGAGUUGAAAUCGAAGUGUAUGGCUUCUAACUCGCGAGGGUUACGUUGGCGGCCGAACAACGUAACAUCAGGAGUUAAUAGUUGGGACACUUCUUUACUUUCGCAUGAUUUGGGGUGUUGUUAUUUGAGGCGGGCUUGCGAUAGCGGGGUUAUAUUAACUUGCGCUUUUAUGAUGUUGUAGUUUGAUGCCGGACUACACGCUCUAAGUCUGUUAGAGCGGACGAUGCGGCGACUUUUGAGGAAGCGGAGACAUCCGCUACCUCCGAUCCGGUGAGGUCUGAGUUGAGGAGCCAACUUUGCCGCCCUCACUGAUUUGGUGAUGCAGCAGGCGGCGGCCGGCUCAGCAGCAAGCGGACACGGCAUCGGACGGCAGGAGGCACGGAUGCAGCGCCCGGAGGAUCUUCUAUUACAGCAGGCAGCUGGCCAGAGAGGCUCAGGUCUCUGUACUACCCGUGCCAGUGGAGACAGUUGUGCCCGGGGGGUCGUCCCCUGCACUCGACACUUCGCAGACGACACUUACGGUAGCCCAUCGGGAGAGGUAUAUGGCACACCACCAGCUCAGGUGCCUUGUGGAAGCGGCGACUUUUCCCUUGAAUGGUUGAAAGAGCAGAGCGGCAGCGGCUCAUGGAUCGCCUCGAUGAGUUCAGAAGGUGCGAUCCCAGGAUCUUUGAUGGAGAGAAAGCGACCACUGAGUCGUUGAGGAAUGGUUGAUGGCAUAUGGAGAAGUUAUUCCGCCGAUACCUUCGGGAGGAGAGAGAUAAGAGUUUGGCUCGCCACUCACACCAUUUGGACAGCGAGGCUAUAGUUGGUGGUGGGUCAUCCAGGAUAAUCCCAACACCGACCUAGCAGCGAUUUCUUUGGAAAGAUUCAAGAGCUCUUAUUGGAGCAUUACUUUCAUCCGCGUGAAGAGAGAAAUGGAGCAGAAUCUGCGCUGAGAAUGUCGGCUCUGGGAAAAUGGAGCAGGAUCUGCGCGAGAUGCGCCAGGGGGAUCAGACUGUGGCCGAGUACGAGAGGGAGUUCUCUCAGCUUCUACACUAUGCGCCCUUUGUCGUGCGGGACGUCGAGGAUAAGGCUCGCAUCUUCGAGCGAGGACUUCGGCCGUCGAUCUUACGGUUGGUGCAACCCUCCCACCUUCAGACUUACCAAGAUGUGGUGAACCGCGCUCUCAUUGUGGAAAGCUGCGCGGCAGACUUGCAGGAGCGUCGAAAAGGCUCGAACAAAGGACAGGACAGGAGGCCCGCGACUGAGGGUGCGAGUCAGACGCACUCUGGGAGGCCGCCGAAACAUUCCAGGAACCGGAGCCAAUCGCGAGGACGUGGCUCAUCAGCACGGCAUAGAGGAUCCGAGCGUCGUCAGACAUUGAGCUGUGUGAUCUGCGGUGGUCAUCAUUACCCGCAGCAGUGCUCUCAGAGGCAGGGCAGGUGCUACUCGUGUGGCCAGGAGGGUCACUUUCAGUCAGACUGUCCGAGAGGUUUAGUAUCAGCGCCAUCUUCAGCAUCGGUACCAGUAUUACCGGAUCCCAGCCAAGGGAUGCCUUUUACUUACUAUCAGGACGGGAGGCCACCCGUCCGGAGACAGACGGAGGGGUCACGACGGGCCCCGGGCGGGCGCAAGUACGCGGCCCAGACGGAGGAGGCGGCAGCAGCUGAGUUUGUGACUACAGGUAUCAGUCUUAUUUGUGGCAUUCGAGUUGUGCAUUGUUGGUUACUGGAGCAUUGCAUCUAUGAUCGGCUAUUCGCCGAGUUGCAUGGCAUUUCGUUAGUUCGCUGUUUGCGACAUUAUGUAGCCCCUCGAGCUAGGCGAUUGAUUUGCGGGUUGCGGGUAGCAUAUUUCGCUAUGGUCGUAGAUCUCACGAGGAUUGCAUUAGUUGUAUCCCUGGCUCGGCUGUUUGCUGGAUGGUGCUUGGAGACGACCGUGCCUGGACCAUUUGGGGACUGUGGAGCCUGGGCCCGUUGGGCAGGCGCAGUCGGCUGUGUGUGUCAGCGGCCCGGUACCUGCGGGUAGGGCAGAGUUUUGGUCAGGAUGGUAGUCCGAGCGUGGACCCUGGAGCGUGGAAAGCCACGCGUUGGAUCGUGAGAUCGAGGACACACUGAGUGUGUAGUUACCCAACCCGAGGAAUGUAAGCAUUGAACCUUUCGGCGCGUGUGGAUGAUCGGUUGAUCGGGUGUGUCGUUUCGAACACCCUACCCUGUGAGAUGGUUCUGUGUGCCAACAAAUAGAUUGGCCUUCCUUGGUGUGGAGUUGUUGUAGGUACCUGGUACCCUUGGAUUGCGAGCUGACUUGACUCGCCUUGAGGACUGUGAGCACGAAAUAGUGCGAUUUGAGGACUCACUUCUGCUUGAUGCGUUGAUUGUCUCCCUUACCUAAAAUUGGGUAAGUGUUGGAGAGGGUUUGGGGCCUGAGUGGCCAUUAGCUUUGGGUGAUUAAGAAUCCUUGAAAUGAAGGAUGCCUUCGAUCCGUCGUUGUGCCCCCGAUCGAAUCACAAUCAUGAGCUCGAUUGGCGGGGUGGUUUUAUAGUUGGUGUUUUGCUUCGUGGAGGAGCACUCUCACUUGUUGUGGGACCGGUUGGGCCGUUUCGACUGUAGGUCGACUCUCAUGAUUCAAAUUGAACCACGAUUGGAGGUUUAGACCGUAGCUGAGGCCCAUUGACCUUGUCAGAUGGCGUUGAGUUGUUGGUGUACUCGUUAAGAUUGUGAGUAAUCUGAGUAGUACUGUUGACGUUGGAGUUUGAGGUCGUACCUCAAAUGGAUUGUGAUGCUAGGUGGGGACAUCACGAGGAUGAUGCUGCCUAAGCCUAUAGUACUCAACCUGUGGAGGGGUUUGCGGAAUGAUAAUCCCAAGCCCUCUGGAUGGAAUUGUGGAACCAGUCGCUGAUGACUAGGGGUAUUUUUAUAGGAUGUAUGAGGUUGGACUGCGUUGGCAGGUUUGGAGUGAUCGAGUUGUGGAACUCUCACUAACGGAUGGAAAGCUCGUGAGAAGGAGGGUACCAAGUUACGAAUUUCCCGUGACAGGAGCGUGUACAAGGAUUUGAGUCCUUCAGGAUUGAACUACGUAUGAGGACUUAUGGGAUUGACUUUGACUUAACAGUCGCAUCAGGAUGACUUUGAUAGAGAGCUGUUACUGAACGGUGGAUUGAUCCAUCUCUAUCGCAAGAAUCGAGUUUGGGGACCUUGGACACUUGGAGCAUCCAAUGCUAGGGAAAGCAUUGAGAUCGGAAAUUUCUAAGUGAUUGUGUUGUGAGCCUUCUGUCGAAGCUAGGCCCUUGGCCUAGGCUUGCGAGAGUUUACUUGGACUUGAGUUGGGACUAAGAUGAUGAUCUUAGUAGACUGAUGAAGCCUUUGAGCUUAGUCCCCGACCAUAUAUUGCAAUGGAAUUGAGGGUACUCCCGAGUGGUGAAUUUGAGAUCGAUGUGGAGACAUCACAGCGCCGUGCCGAUUGAGGAAUCAACUAAUCGCCAUGAUGGGCGAGUUUGGACGAUCUGUCGAUUUCUGUUACUAUUGGAAGAAUGGCUAUCUUGAAUGUUGAAUCGGAACCGUUCGUGCCAAGCAAGAUUGGACAGUGUGACGGACGUUGCUAAUAGAAUGGGAUUGAAAGGUUACACCGUAACUAACCUUGGAUUGGAUUACACUCAGUUAUGUUAUCUCAAGAAGAGACUUGAUCUUAGAUCUGAAGGAUCAUCGUUGGAAUAAGAGCCUACAAGUGGACUGUGCAUCACCUUCCCUUGGUGAGUGUCGAUCGGGUGAGCACUCCGAUGGAGUUGUGGUAGUUCGGUGGCGGAUGUACCCCCUCCCCUGAUGCUUGCUUUGGACAAUACCCUUGAGUCAAGGCACCGCCUUGGGAGGGUAUUCGAUGGAACUUCUGGUACAAGAGUGAUUGAUAUAAGCUAGGUUUUACCCUCGACUGGGACAAGGAAGGUGGAAACUGGAAUUCAGCUUUUGGGAGCACUAGCGUUCAUGAGAGCCGAUUGAAGGACUUGUUGAUCAAGCGCGGAUAAGGGAUGGACCUUGCUGGGGAGGCUGGAGUCCGAGGAACUUCAGAGAGAGUUUGAUUUGAGCUAUGCCAAGUCUUGGCAUCGUGGGGUCUGGUUGUUUUUGCCAUGGAGCUUUCCGGCAUGUUCGAGACCUUCGUUGUCUAGCUUGUACGCUGUUAGAGCGUUUCUCUAUCCUCUUUUGAUGAGUCUGUGUUGUGGUUGAUCCGCAGUUUAGCGGACGAAACUCCUUUUUAGGAGGGGUGAAUGUAACACACUGGACCUUUGCAAAUUGUGAGGUUCGAGUGUCUGAGUUGUGUUCUGAGCAUUUCUAGAUUUUCUGGUAGGUCGUUGACAGUGUUCCGACCCAUUGCUCGCAUCCCGAGAUUUGAGGUAUUUAAAGUAGCCCUAAGGUCAUCAAAAAGUUGGACUUAGGUUGCUCUCGGAUUGCUGUUUUCAGGGCUGUGUACCGGUACAAUCUGAUGGCUGUACCGGUACAGGGUUGAUGGUUGUACCGGUACAGCCACCGGGCUUGUACCGGUACAGAGCCGUUGAACCCCCAACCCGAGCCUCGGGUUCUGAUGUUUCGUAGGGCUUGUACCGGUACAGGGGCCCGUGUACCGGUACAAGGUGGCAGAUUUUGAGCAGUUCGAACUGCAGGGGUGUUUUUGCUAUUGUAGCAUCUCUAUAAUACCACCCACGCACCUUUGCUGAUCUCCUGAGCUGGGAAACACAGGAGGACAAGGUAGGGAGCCCUUCUCUUCUUCCCUUUUGAUUUCCCUCUCUUUUUGCUUGGAUUUUGAUGGUUAUCCCCUCUUUUUGCUUUUGGUGACUUUUCCACCAUGGGAGAAGCUUGGGAGCUUGGAGUUGAGCUUGUUGGAGGUGAGAUCUUCGAUCCUUGGGGAUUGUGAACCUUGUUUGAGGCUUCUUGAGAGGUUAGUUGCUUACUAUUUCCCUUUCUAUCAUGAAUUUCAUGAAUUUUGUUUAGAAACCCUAGAAAUGAGGAUUUAGGGUUUGUUUUGGGGAUUUUUGAUCUAGGGCUUUCGGAGCUCAAUCGAUCGGUUUAGAACCUUCCCUUGGGUUGGUUUGGAAGGGAUCUAGCUUCCACUUGGAGCUUAAAAGGGAUUUUCUACACUUAGGUGAGAUUUUAGCCCUUUUUGCCUUGAUGGUUAAUGUUUGAGUUUCGGGUUGUUCGUUUCGUUUGGGUAACCCUCGUUUUGAUGCUUCUAGGGUACUAGGAGUCUUGUGGGCACCUCCGUUCGGCGAAACGAAGGUUUCGAUUUUGGUGGGUUUGGCCUCACCUAGAUGAGAUAAACUUCUCAUAUGAGGGUUUUUAUUUAUCGUAAAGUGAAAACGCAUGCAUAUUCUUAUUGGAUAGAAUAUUUGAGAAUUUUAGAAUGCUUAAAUUGCACAUGUCAUAUACAAUGCAUAUUUGACCUCUAUAUAGUAGAGAGUCUUCAUGUUGGGCUAGGGGCCUAUGGUUAGCAUUCUUACAUUUGAUUGAGAUCAUGUUGCAUACGGUGCAUAUGGCAUAUAGAUUACACUCUGAGACUUAGAACGCAUGCUUGACAUGGUUGGACAAAUCGACAUUAAGUGACAUAGGCUAGAGUUUAUACAAAUAAUAAGCUAAUGUCAUAAAGCGGCAUUAGGUUUGGACUAGAUAUGGACUUAGCAAUCUAAUGUCAUAAAGCGGCAUUAGGCUUGAUGGAUAUGUAAAUUGCAUGUACAUGUUAUUAUUAUGAGAAUUAUGCCAAGUUGAUAGUUGCAUUGGAUAGAAUAAGCUAACGUCAUAAAGAGACAUAGAAGGUGAAAUGUGCUUAGAUUAUAGCAAGGUUUAAGUGUUAUAAGAAGGCAUAAACAUAGUUGAUGUGAAUCCCUUGGAUUUAACUUAUAAAGUAAUAUCAUUUAUAUCGAAAUAUUGAACGUUAAACUUCUUAAUAAUAAGUAAUAGACUAUUCAGGUUGUAGUGACUUUUUUACAUGUAUGAGACAUGAUGAUGAUAUACUUUAUUGGUUUUUAUUACAUGACUUGUUGCAUUGUGCUUUCGCAUAUGCUUUAGGGUCGUCCUACAAGCCGGCAUCCGGAGUUAGCCGCGAAUAUGCUCGCCGAUGGUGUAUUGAAAGCUACGAGAGUUCGAUGGACAAAAUUCAGUAGAGGAAUGUUGGGCUACCACCAGGCACUUAGGCACAACAAUACCGUGUAGAUCAUGAAUGGAUUUAAACGAUAAUUAAACAACAGGUGAUAAUCACUUUAUAUACAGGUCAUAGUAGUUGAUUCACUACAUGCUAUGUUACUAGGGGACUGAAAGAAUCAUAAGAGAUAAACUUGACGCAUGCUUAUGUCAUCGUAGUGUACUGAUUGCGAGGUAGGAUAGUACAUACUUUAUAUGUAGUUGCUUUGGAAUAUAUUAUACUCUAUAAGUAUUUACUUGUGCAUCAUAGCAUAUGUUUAUGUAUUGAUACUUGGAUCAUGUAGAGUUAGAUGUACUCAAUAUUGAACCAUUAAUAUGUGAUGUUAGAUAGAUGCAUUUUAAUAUUUAUGCUUUAAUUUACGCAGUAUAAUUUAUUUAUCCUUAUUUCCUUCUUUGGGCUAGUGAGUGCAGCUGUGCAGAAGAUAGUAAUUGACCCACGAAAUAUAAAUUAUAGUUUUUAGCCCGCUUAUUUAUUUUUUCUGUUAGAGCUUCCAUCGGGAGAAGAGUCAGGAUCUGAAAGUUUUUCGCCUAUAAUAUGAGGGAUUUUGGAGAUAUGAUGGCAUCCUCAACUUUCUUUGUUUUCUUUGAGAGUUUGUGAGAUUUUGUAUUUUAUUAUAGAACCACCUACUUUUGUAUUGGAGUUAUAAUGUAUUAGUUCUUUUUUCUAUGUUAGUCUAUUUUCUUUCUUUUAUUUCCGCAUUGUGAUAGCACCUAGGUAUAUACGCCUCUGUAAUCUCUGUUGUUAUAUUUUUUGUUUUAUUCUUCGCUUUUGUGUGACCUUAUAUGUUGAAAAUAGCGAUUCUGGGGCACGGCCCUAUGCGGUCCGGGGCAGUGACAAACAUAUAUAUAUUAGUAGUGCUAGAAUCUUUAAAAGUAUAUAAGGGAUAAUACUGUGUGUUGUUAGCAUGUGGAUGGAGGAUGUGAGGUUGAAUAAUGGGUAGUGUGUAUAGUGUGAAGUAUGUUGGAAUAGUGUUUAAUCCAAAGCCUAUAUAAUCAAAAAGAUUUUACAAGUAUUAAUAAUCCCAAAAAGUAGAUUCUAAUGGCUUAAACCAUAAGUAUAGCACCAUGAUGAUGAAUUUAAUAAUAUCAUAGCUCAACUAUAUAUUAUAAUAUCUAUAUAUAUAUAUUAUAUAUAUAUAUAUUGAUAUUAUGUGGAGUCGGGCUGUAUGUUAUGAAGUCAGGAGCUAGUGCUUCAAGUUGUUUUCUCCGAUGUUUCGGACUUUCGAGAUCCGAUCUGGGUGUUUGAGUGUUAGAUAGUAUUUAGUUAAGAAAUAAUUUUUAUUUUUCGAUAUCAUUGCCUAGUGAUCGAAGGGACUCAAAAUCAAUAAUUUUAAUGGCCGUGGUGAGCCGGUUGCAAGUUUAACGGUGUAGAAAUAUCCAAAUCACAUGAAAUUUUGAUAGAAAAUUCUUUAUACCAUAUAAAACAAGAUCAAUAACUUUGAUCUAAAAUUUUAUUGUCAUAUCAACAUAUUUUGUAAGAUUUUUAUUUUCAGCCUUUGAUUUUGAGCCACUUCGAUCACUAGGCAAAUGAUAUCGAAAAAUCGCAAAAUUUAUUUUCUAGAUACUUCAUAUACUCUAGAUCAAGUCUAACGGAGCCGAUCGUCAAUUCGAAAGUCCGAACAUCGAAAACAAAGUAGAAGCACGACGCCCUCCCUGCUUCCAUAAGCAUCCUAGCCGCACUCUAUAUGUGUGUGUGUGUGUGUGUGUGUGUGUGUGUGUACUAAUUGAGUGUACGUACAAAUGCACGUAAUAAUUAUUUUAAUUUAUUUUAAAUCAAUGUAAAUUUGCAAAUUAUAUUUAUUUAAAAAUUUAAAAUUUAUAAAUUCAUAUAUUAUAUUUUAUUAGAAAAUAUUUGUAAUAUUCUAUAUAUAUAUUUUUUAUAUACAUUAAAUAUUUUUAUAUAUUUUUUGAUUUCUCAUGAUCUAAAAUUUAAAUAUGUAUUUUAAACAAAAAGCGUCAAAAUUUAAUUCAUAUUUAUUUCAAAAUUUAAAAUUUAAUUUUGAUCCACGAUAAUUAAAAUUUGUGGAUAAGAAUGUUAUUUUUUAACAGAUUAAUCAUAACCGUUCGUUUUUAUUUGAGGUUUUUUUAAUUAAGUGAACCGAUCAUUUUUAAUUGACACAACCGUCCGUAAGAUUAGAUUUAUAAAUAGAAUGCUAUUUUUUAACAGAUUAAUCAUAACCGUUUGUUCUUAUUUGAGAUUUUUUUUUAAUUAAGUGAUCAUAUCCGUUCGUAGAAAAUAUAUGGAAUAUUCUUUUAUUUCUUUUUGGAUUCCUUUAUAGAUGGAUAAGAACGCUAUUUUUUAACAAAUUAAUCAUAAUCGUUCGUUCUUAUUUGAGAUUUUUUUAAUUAAGUGAUUAUACCCGUUCGUGCCUGUUCGUAGGAAAUAUAGAGAAUAUUUUUUUAUUUCUUUUUGGAUUACGCCUGUCUCGAAAUUUCUAUACGCUUUUAUAUAUAAUAUACUAGUUGAAUGUACAUGCAAAUGUACAUAAUAAUUAUUAUAAUUUAUAUCAAAUCAAUAUAAAUUUGUACAUUAUCUAUAUCCAAAAUUUUACAAUAAAAAUUAUAUUUAUAAAUUAAUAUGUUAUAUUUUAUUAGAAAAUAUUUACAAUAUCCUACCGUAUUCUUUUUUUUAUAUACAUCGAAUAUUUUUAUAUACUUUUUGAUUUUUGAUGAAUCAAAUUUAAAUAUGUGUUUUAAAUUAAAAUUUCAAAAUUUAAUUCACAUUUAGUUUAAAAUUAAAAAAAUUAAUUUUUAAUUCAAACUUGAUAUCAAAAAUUAAAUUUAAUUUCAUAAUUUAAACUCUAAUUUUAAUUUUAAUGUAAAAGAGAUAAAUAAAAAUGCUAUUUUUUAACCAAUUGAUUAUAACCAUUUGUUUCUAUUUGAGAUAUUUUUUAACAAAUUGAUUAUAAUCGUUCGUAGAAUUGAAUUUAUAGUAUAACGCCCCAAUAGUCCCAUUGUCACGCCCCGGAUUACUAGUUCCCCGGGCACGCCGACAAAUCCACCGUAUACAAAGAAAUUUUUCCUGUAUACGUAGCGAUAGCUGUACCUGUAAAACAUACAAUACUACAAACAGUAGUAUAGAGCUGCUAGAAGAACCAGUAAGUAAAAACGAAUCGAGUUUCAUAUACAUACAUUAAAUCCAAAAUACAAAACUACUCGCACUGGCGAGUUAAAUAACAGUAUGUACAUGAACUCCAACAAAACAACUACCUGCUGUCACGCCCCGGAUUACAUGUUUCCCGGGCACGCCGACAAAUCCGCCGUAUACAAAGAAAUUUUUCCUGUAUACGAAGCGACAGUUGUACCUGUAAACAUACAAUACUACAAACAGUAGUAUAGAGCUGCUCGAGUAAACAAAAGCUAAACAAACUGAGCUUCAUAUACAUAGUUUAAAAAUCAAAUACAGAGUUACUCGCACUGGCGAGUUAAGUACUAUGUACAUAAGCUCGAAAUAAAAAAACUACCUGCAGUAGGGUGCCUCUAGCUCUGCUCGGCGGGUAGGGCUCUAACUCGUGACGCCCUUGCCUCGAUCCUGAUCCGCGGAAGGCGCAGCAGCCAAAACCUGUGGCUCUGCAAAACAUGGGUAACAACUGGGCGUGAGAACUACUGUAAAAACAAGUAGUCCUCAGUGGGUGCCGCCCAAAACAACAUCGGUCUGCCCACCAAGUUUACAAAAGGGAGUAAUGGUAAAAGUAAAAUGCUGGAAUGAACUCUACAGCUACUAGUCACUACACCAUCCUGCUCUAUACUAACCCACUGUAGGAAAUGUCAAAACUGACCCAAUUCGAUCGGGACUGUAAACAUACCCGUCCCGGGGACUGUGAAUACAUCCGUCCCUGUCCAGUUGUGACUAUCCAGCUACCUCCACACUAACUGGUCCGUGGAGAGCAAGUCCAACCGGCAUGAGCGACACCAAGGCGAAAGCACAAAGCCCGUCUCCGGAGUGGCACUCGUGUGCGCUACUCAACCGAGUAUGCAGCGUAUCUCUGUCGAGCUGAAACAGGCUCUGAAAAGCCAAAAUCAAGUAACCGACUCUAACUGGUCUAACAACCAACCGUUCACGUGCCCUCGGCACAAUCUGUCGCCAAAAAGGCGAUCCGGGUCCACCGUCAACCUGACGGCACUCAACAGUUCGGAGCAGCCCAAACGACCCUAUAAAAAUUCAUUCGGCAUACCAGUACGAGUGUAAAUGUAUGCUAAACUACCUGGAGUACUCGUCUCGAGGAUACUGCGACAGUACAAUUUUAUAACGGCUCCUAGAGCUAAAUCAGGCANAUGCUAAACUACCUGGAGUACUCGUCUCGAGGAUACUGCGACAGUACAAUUUUAUAACGGCUCCUAGAGCUAAAUCAGGCAGUUUAAACAAGUGACAGUCCAAAUCGCAGGUUUUCUCCUAAUUCCAAUAUCAUGUCCAACAUGUAUAAACUACUCAAUUUAUUACCACAUGCUCCAAAUUCAGAUUUACAAUCUAUAAUAUAAUCCAUGAAUUCGAGCUAGAAUAGAUUAUACCAAAAAUCGAAAUUUAUACAUGUCGACGAUU